CGGAGGGAGCUAGCGUUGUUCGGAAUACUGGGCGUAAAGCGCACGUAGGCGGCGCAGCAAGUCAGGGGUGAAAUCCCGGGGCUCAACCCCGGAACUGCCUCUGAAACUGCAGUGCUAGAAUCUUGGAGAGGCGAGUGGAAUUCCGAGUGUAGAGGUGAAAUUCGUAGAUAUUCGGAAGAACACCAGUGGCGAAGGCGACUCGCUGGACAAGUAUUGACGCUGAGGUGCGAAAGCGUGGGGGAGCAAACAGGAUU
rnacentral:rRNA from 1 species